CAGUCGCCGCGGUAAAACAGAGGGUGCAAGCGUUAAUCGGAAUUACUGGGCGUAAAGCGCGCGUAGGUGGUUUGUUAAGUUGAAUGUGAAAUCCCCGGGCUCAACCUGGGAACUGCAUCCAAAACUGGCAAGCUAGAGUAGGGCAGAGGGUGGUGGAAUUUCCUGUGUAGCGGUGAAAUGCGUAGAUAUAGGAAGGAACACCAGUGGCGAAGGCGACCACCUGGGCUCAUACUGACACUGAGGUGCGAAAGCGUGGGGAGCAAACAGGAUUAGAUACCCCUGUAGUCCCUGUCUCUUAUAA
rnacentral:rRNA from 1 species